ensembl:snoRNA SNORA62 Small nucleolar RNA SNORA62/SNORA6 family
AGUAUACAUUGUUAGGGUUUGGAGUUGAGGUCACAAAUUGGCCGAUGAACUCACAAGUGCAGGUAAUGUGCCACAUGAGUGGCAAGUUUUCCGCUAACAUGCCACUCCGGCCUAUGGGUGGAGUUUGACAGCAAACUUUGCUACAAGU